rnacentral:snRNA from 1 species
GAGCUCAACGAGAACAGAAAU